AGUUAAUGAACUUGUAAAAGUAUAUGUUUUGAAAGCAUAAUAAAGGGUAAUCAUUCCCUAUUAACUU
rnacentral:tRNA from 1 species